rnacentral:tRNA from 1 species
UGGCUCAGUUGGUAGAGCAUGUCAUUUGCAACGCCAGGGUCGUGGGUUCGAUUCCCAC